ensembl:lncRNA JUN-DT JUN divergent transcript
AGAACAAUGCGGGAGUUGCAGAGAGAGGUGUCCUGUGUUUGUUCCCAGUCUUCCUUCACUCACCUGCACCUGCUCCUGCCCUGCUUCGGCCAACAUGUUCUAUGCAGGCAGCAGAGUUCAUAUCAAGGGCCCAUGUUUUAACUGAAUAUAAUGAAUUUUUUUUUUCACCUUGGAAGAGUCUUAGAGGCAAGAUUAGAAUGUUCAUCUAAAAGGAGUGCAAAUUUCUUCAACCAUUCCCACGGAGGAAGUGAAUUUUUGCCACCUUCAAUGAGAAAGACUGAAACAAAAAACUCAGAAGAAAGAAAGAGACUGAGAUAGCAAAUAUGACAAACUGUUAAAAAUUCAUGAAUCUGUUAUGGAAUACUAUGCAGCCAUAAAAAAGGAUGAGUUCCUGUCCUUUGCAAGGACGUGUAUGAAGCUGGAAACCAUCAUUCUGAGCAAACUAAAACAGGAACAGAAAACCAAACACCACAUGUUCUCACUCAUAAGUGGGAGUUGAACAAUGAGAACACAUGGACACGGCGGGGUGGUGGGAACAUCACACACCGGGGCCUGUCAGAGGGGAGGGGGCUAGGGGAGAGAUAGCAUUAGGAGAAAUACCUAAUGUAGAUGAUGGGUUGAUGGGUGCAGCAAACCACCAUGGCAUGUGUAUACCUAUGUAACAAACCUGCAUGUUCUGCACAUGUAUCCCAGAACUUAAAGUAUAAUAAUAAAAAGAGAGAUUAAAAAAAUUGGUGAAUCUGGGCAAAAUGUACACAGGAUUUUUCUGUACUGUUCUUGCAACUUUUCUACAGAUUUGAAAUGUUACAAAAUAAAAGGUAUUUUUAGAAAAA